ACAUCCAUAUCACAUUGAAACACUAGUUCUCAUAUAAUCACCAAGGUUAAGCAAUAUUGAGCCUGGUCAGUGCCUAGAUGGGUGGCUGCUUGGGAAUACCAGGUGCUGUAAG